rnacentral:rRNA from 1 species
AGCGAACGCUGGCGGCAGGCCUAACACAUGCAAGUCGAACGAACCUUUCGGGGUUAGUGGCGGACGGGUGAGUAACACGUGGGAACGUGCCUUUAGGUUCGGAAUAACUCAGGGAAACUUGUGCUAAUACCGAAUGUGCCCUUCGGGGGAAAGAUUAAUCGCCUUUAGAGCGGCCCGCGUCUGAUUAGCUAGUUGGUUGAGGUAAUGGCUCACCAAGGCGACGAUCAGUAGCUGGUCUGAGAGGAUGAUCAGCCACAUUGGGACUGAGACACGGCCCAAACUCCUACGGGAGGCAGCAGUGGGGAAUCUUGCGCAAUGGGCGAAAGCCUGACGCAGCCAUGCCGCGUGAAUGAUGAAGGUCUUAGGAUAGUAAAAUUCUUUCACCGGGGACGAUAAUGACGGUACCCGGAGAAGAAGCCCCGGCUAACUUCGUG